CGCGUAGGCGGUCAAUUAAGUUAGGCGUGAAAGCCCUGGGCUUAACCUAGGAACUGCGUUUAAUACUGGUUGGCUAGAGUAUGGUAGAGGAAAGCGGAAUUCCUAGUGUAGAGGUGAAAUUCGUAGAUAUUAGGAAGAACACCAGAGGCGAAGGCGGCUUUCUGGACCAUUACUGACGCUGAGGCGCGAAAGCGUGGGGAGCAAACAGGAUUAGAUACCCUGGUAGUCCACGCUGUAAACGAUGUAUGCUAAACGUUGGGGGUUUAACCUUCAGUGUUGCAGCUAACGCAAUAAGCAUACCGCCUGGGGAGUACGGUCGCAAGAUUAAA
rnacentral:rRNA from 1 species